rnacentral:rRNA from 1 species
AUGAUCCCAAAGACUGGUUCCCCAGAAAAGGAGAUAAUGCUAAAAUUGGGUUUCAAAGAAAAGUGGGUAGAUUUAGUUAUGCAAUGUGUAUCUUCUGUGAAGUACCGGGUUCGUUUUAAUAAUGAAGAGACUGAGAGUUUUAAACCUACUAGAGAGGGGCUGACCGCUCUACUAGCUAAUGCAGAGGAGAAUGAUAAUAUUUCUGGAGUUAAGGGGGUUCGGCCGGCCCGUCUCGUCCGCCUCCGGGGGAGCGAUCGGUCGGGAUCAGGAUCCCGUCGAGCUGUUCGGUUUUACUUUCCGCGUCUGGUUUCGGGUGAUCCUCCGUUGGCCAUAGCAAGGUCAGUUUCCUCUCUGCGUUCGUCGGUGAUUUCAGAUUCGAAUCGAAUUGAAUUGAGCGUCUAUCGCCCGUACGGCCUUCUGCCUCUGUGUUCCCCGAUCAAGCGCUCUCGUCACCAGUUAAUACGAUUACGAGGUGGAUUCCAGGGCCUCGUGGAUUCUUGUUGUGCCGCUGAUCUAGCUUUCGGUGUAUGCGCUCUCAUCCUAGAUGCAACCAAGUGGGCGAGCGCUAGUUGUGGGGAGAUGAUAUUGGAUAUAGAUCAAGGGUGGAGGUUUUUUGCUUCUGCCCUCCAUGUCCUUGCAGAUUUGUUUUGGCCUAAGACAAUGCUGCUAGAAGUCUGGCCCUACAUGCAGACCUGUUAUUCGUGUGUUGGCUUCCAUGGGUUGGCUGCAGGACUGGAUCUAGUAUGUGGAGACCCCUGGGGUGUUGUAUGUCAAGGGGAUGUGAGUCAGAUGCAGCAGAAGCAAGAGGGUAGUGGUUCCGCAGAGAUGUGGAGGUUUGGUUUCUUACACAUGGCAAUAUUUUAUAAUACAGAUUCAUAUGCAAAGGUGCAUGAAUCUAAGGAUAAUCCGAAGCUUUCGACUAAUGGCGCAUCCUACAACCGAGAAAGACUCUUGCCUAGGUUUUUGCUCCUGCCCUUCCUGUGGAUGCAGAUCUUUUUUAGCCCAGAGCAUGUGGGUAAUGACGCGGAGUCUGUUCUAAUAUUUUGUCUAGAUGGGACAUCCUACAACCUAAAAUACUUGGUGCACUCCACAACCGAAAAUUAUCUUAUGCUGAGUUAUCUCCUGAAGAAACUACUGUUGUCUUGGCUGCCUUUGCUUGUAGCAUUGAUCAAGCCAUGCUGUAUAUCUUGGUGGGUGUGCCCUGUAGAGUCAGAUACAAGACAGCGGAGAUCGUAUUGA